UUGUUUAUGGUUCAUUGUGCAAGCAUGGGAAACUGUGUUUAAACCCUUUACAAUGAAGAUCUGUGAAGUUAUUUGGAUUUUUACGAUUUAUCUUUGAAAGACGGGGUCCUGAAAAGGGGACAUUUUCUUUCUUUUCUGAGUUUAUUUGUCAGUGUUGUCAGUUGCUCAACCUUUCCCAAAAUGGGCUGGAAGAUAUUUGAAAGUGCCAAGAAAUAGGCUUAGAAUUAAUUGAAUGUUGGAACUGGAGCAAAAUAUAAUCUUGAUUUGCAUUUUUACUGACUAAUGCCGUAAUGGUUGAGGUUUCGGAUUUAAGUAAGUGGAUUAGUAGAGCUUGCCAACAUGUCUGAGAUAUUGUAGAGUACAACUUUGAUCUUCUUUUGCAAAAUGCGUAACGAUAUUACUUUAAAAAUGGACAGAAGCAAGAUGCAUUACAAGAGAAGAACCUGGGUGGUUAACAUAAUUGUUUGAACUUCCUGAUCCAAAGACAAUGAAAGCAGGACAAUACUCUCUUACAUGGGCAAAAAGCUAUUUGCACACAGUGCCUUUGGAAAGUUUUCAGACCCCUUGACUUUUUCCACAUUUUGUUAAGUUACAGCCUUUUUGUCAAAUUGAUUAAAUUAAACAAUGUCCUUAGCAAUCGGCGUGCAAAAGUGCUACCCACGCUGCAAGGAAAUAGGCCUGGACCUCGACGUUGCAUCCAAACCUGAAAAAAACAAAACGCAAAUUUCAGUUACUGGUAAUGGUGUAAAUAUUUAAUAAUAGAAUGUAAAAAGGCUAAAGGAUAUGCGUCUUUUCUCUAUGAUAGUCUAGAAUACAUUUUUUGAUCUUAAAGUGGAACUGAUAGCGUUUUAGCAAUAUGCAAUCUUAGAUCUGUUCAUAUACAUCCCAGGAAGAUUAUAUAUAUAUAUAUUUUUUUAACGGUUUCUGACACGUGAUCACUUUUAGAUAUGGUAAUUUUUAUAAAUUCAUUGAAUGUUUGAGAUUGAAGUAUAGUUAGGCAUUUGUGAAAAUUCUAUAAGAAUAUUGUCAGAGGACAGACCCAGUUUUUGAAAUUAUUUUUAUUGACUGUUCAACUCAAUCUGAUCUUAGACAGUUUUUUAGUUUACCAGUGAUUUUGUGUGGCCUACCACUUCGCGGCUGAGCCGUUGUUGCUCCUAGACGUUUCCACUUCAAAAUACCACUUACAGUUGACCGGAGCAGAAAUUUGACAAACUGACUUAUUGGAAAGGUGUCAUCCUAUGACGGUGCCAUGUUGAAAGUCACUGAGCUCUACAGUAAAGCCAUUCUACUGCCAAUGAUUGUCUAUGAAGAUUUUAUACACCUGUUAGCAACGGGUGUGACUGAAAUAGCCAAACCCACUUAUUUGAAGGUGUCCAAAUACUUUUGUGUUAACGGUUAAGUCUUUGAAUAGUGGAUUUUACAGAUUCCCUUGGCCUCCUGUUGGUUCACUUUUGUUCUUGCUGUGGUUUAUUUCUAGACUUCUUUUUACUUUCAACGACAUGUUCAUUGACGAGCCUAACUUUUCUACCUUAGAAAGCCCAUGUUGAUUAACCUUCUGAUCUUUCUUUUUUGAUGUAAAUAAGGCGAACAAUGAUAUUUUUUCUAAUUUAAGAGUUGGCCUAGGCAUUGGUAAAAAACCUAUGGAUCAUGUUUUUAUUUUUUAAGUUUGUUUUUCAGCCAUUUUUGGAGUGACUUAUCUGUGGGCUAGUUCUUUUUUUUCUUUUUUUGAGGAGGAGAGAUUAAGAAAACACUGCUUCAAGACUUGCUUUGCAGUUACCCAUACUUUUCUCUUAUAAGGUCAACUAUGAAGUGAAAGUAUUUUUAAGGACACUUUCAUUGACAUUCUUAGGUGUACCUCUGACACCUGUUGCAUCACAAGGUAUGCAAGUAAAUGUGUGACAGAUGCGCAUUGCAACUUUUUCUACUGCUUGCCAUUCAAACUUUAAAACAUGCAAACCGGUCUGGAAUGGUGUGCUUGUAUACAGUGUUUUGAUACCAGUUACUCUAGAGCCCGACGGAUAUGGGAUUUUUGUAUCCGAUUUUAGAGGGGAAAUAUUCACAGAUAAUCGAUAUUGGGCCUAUAUUUUUAUGAUUUUAGCUGGAAUGAAACAUUUAAAUGUUUUCUGUAUGGAUUGUGAUUAAAAAGAUACUCAAAGAACGUUUAAUGUAAGCACCACAGAACAUUUAGGAGCACCAGAAAGAUGCAGGAAAAAAAGUUAAUAAAAAAUGUACUGUAGUGAAAGGAAGAUAUACCACCCCGAUUCCAGGAAACAACAUGAGCCUCUGAAGACUGAGCGGCCCCGUGCCAGAAUGAGGCUAGCAUUCCAUUUGUAGGGCUGUAGCCACUGGUAGUUGUCACUUGCAAGAUACAAUAUAAUUCACAACAUUUUACGCUGGCACUGUGCUGCCUCUCGCCCCUAAGUGUUGCUUCAGUGAAUGGUCCUUGCUAUCCGGAGAGACAUCGCUACCUCAUAGUUUUGAAACACCAUGUAAACACUGAGAAUGUAAAGCAACUUUUUUUUUUUGUCUACCUGGCAUUUUCUUUGUUGGACUUUUUGUCACCUUUUUUAGACAAAUGAUUUAAUUGUCUUUGUUUAUAUUUUAAUGUUUUAUUAUUUUUUUUUGUCAUUUUGACUCUUAUCCAAGUGUUUACAGUUUCGUGGAUGUUUUUGUGAUAUUUUUCUGGGGAUUAACACAUUUUUUUGAAGAAGUCUUCAUACUUCUCCCAUUUGUGGACUGCCUCAAAGGAGUUUCUUUCUGGCAUACUUUGGAGUGUCUUUGGAACAAAGGGUGCUGCGUCUCUGUGUCAACCGGCUGAGCAUGCGUCCCAAAAGCAGAAUGGUCUUUCUGUCCUUUCUACCAUGUUUGACGGAACUCUACAGAAAUGAACGUGGUACCUGCAGGCGUUUGGAAAUUGCUCCCAAGGAUGAACCAGACUUGUGGAGGUCUACACUUUUUUUUUUCUUGGCUGAUUUCUUUUGAUUUUCCCAUGAUGUCAAGCGAAGAGGCACUGAGUUUGAAGACUACCAUGGUGGUUUCCAUCUUCAGCCAGACUGGGACAGACGGGGAGGGGGAAACAAGUGAACAGAUAUUCACUAGGACAAUCGCAGAAUGGUCACCAUGGAAACAUACCACCUGUACCAGUUCAGGACAUGAGAUCGCCACGUUGACCAUCUUUAAGACGAAACAGUCUCUGGGUAUCAGUAUCUCAGGUGGGAUGGAGAAUGAGAUGAUGUUUCCAGGAGGAGCUGCCUCUACCAGUGACGUUCUGAUGGUUAGCUUCUUUAGGAGCUCACUGUAAUAUUCCGGCAGCUCAUGCUUUAAUCCACGCUGAGCCAUAUAAUACAAGGCGUGGUAUGAGCUGGUUUCAGUGGACGGUGAGUCUCUGCAGCGUGUGACCCAUCAGCAUGCAGUGUUCAGCAACAAGGCCAAAGACCCCGUGGUGUUUGUCAAGAUCCUCAAGGGACCAGCUGACUUGCAUCAGAGGAGUCCACUGUCAGGCUUACACAAGUACUACACACAGUAUUUUUAUUGAAUCUUUAUUGAACUAGGCAAGUCCAUUUUAAGAACAAAUUCUUAUUUACAAUGACGGCCUACACCGGCCAAACCCGGACGACGCUGGGCCAAUUGUGCGCCGUCCUAUGGGGACUCAAUAUCACAACCAUAUGUGAUGCAUUCUGGAUUCGAACCAGAGACUGUAGUGACGCCUCUUGCACUGAGAUGUAGUGCCUUAGACUGCUGCGCCACUCGAGAGCUCAGUACUGCUGGCCUGUCUACAAGAAUGCUCUGAGGUGCAGUUCACCCAUCCACUGGAAAUGGAAAUGAUUUGAAAUGGUGGUGUUCAAACCAGAACGCAUGUCGACUUAAAGAGGAGGAGGAUUCCCCUGACGCAGAUGGUUCCCUCCAGCUAGGCUGCAAUGGAAGGGAAUGGUCUAUUCUCAGAGGAGAGGAACAUGGGUACCUCGGGACCAAUAAGCAUGGGUACCUUACCUGGGACCAAUAAGCUUGCUUCUCCUCUAGGGCAAAAAGGAUAAUGGUUGUUUGCAUAGCAAACAGGAACUACUGCAAAAUUAAAAUGUUUUUUUUUACACAUGUGGGACUACUGUGCUUGCUUUGUGUAUAACAAUAAUGUGAUAAAUACUAUUUAUCAAAGAUGAAC